CGAAAGUCUGACGGAGCAACGCCGCGUGAGUGAAGAAGGUUUUCGGAUCGUAAAGCUCUGUCUUUGAGGACGAAUGUGUCUAAUGUGAAUAAUGUUAGAUAAUGACGGUACUCGAGGAGGAAGCCACGGCUAACUACGUGCCAGCAGCCGCGGUAAUACGUAGGUGGCAAGCGUUGUCCGGAAUUAUUGGGCGUAAAGCGCGCGCAGGCGGGAUAUUAAGUCUGUUUUAAAAGUUCGGGGCUCAACCCCGUGAUGGAAUGGAAACUAAUAUUCUUGAGUGCAGGAGAGGAAAGUGGAAUUCCCAGUGUAGCGGUGAAAUGCGUAGAUAUUGGGAGGAACACCAGUGGCGAAGGCGACUUUCUGGACUGUGUCUGACGCUGAGGCGCGAAAGCCAGGGGAGUGAACGGGAUUAGAUACCCCGGUAAUCCUGGCCGUAAACGAUGGGUACUAGGUGUAGGAGGUAUCGACCCCUUCUGUGCCGGAGUUAACGCAAUAAGUACCCCGCCUGGGGAGUA
rnacentral:rRNA from 1 species